rnacentral:rRNA from 1 species
AAUUCGAAGCAACGCGAGAACCUUACCAGGUCUUGACAUCCCGAUGCUAUUCUAGAGAUAGAAAGUUACUUCGGUACAUCGGUGACAGGUGGUGCAUGGUUGUCGUCAGCUCGUGUCGUGAGAUGUUGGGUUAAGUCCCGCAACGAGCCGCAACCCCCUAUUGUUAGUUGCCAUCAUUCAGUUGGGCACUCUAGCGAGACUGCCGGUAAUAAACCGGAGGAAGGUGGGGAUGACGUCAAAUCAUCAUGCCCCUUAUGACCUGGGCUACACACGUGCUACAAUGGUUGGUACAACGAGUUGCGAGUCGGUGACGGCGAGCUAAUCUCUUAAAGCCAAUCUCAGUUCGGAUUGUAGGCUGCAACUCGCCUACAUGAAGUCGGAAUCGCUAGUAAUCGUAGGUCAGCCAUACUACGGUGAAUACGUUCUCGGGUCUU